AAUGAUGUGGUCUAUUGUUAAAGAAUAUGAGCAGGUAUUCAUACAAAUAUGGCGAUAGAGAGCUUGAAUAAAUAUCCGAAAUCUAAUAAAAUAGAAGGAAAAGAAAAUAAGAGUUGACAAGCUAUCAGAUUUGUUGGAAGAAAUAGUUGAUGAAAAGAUGUGGAUGAAAAUUAUGAGAAAUGAAAGACCUAACUCCAACAACUAUCAACAAAAAAUUUCUGUAGAAUCUCAUAAAAAAGCAGAAACAAUGAAAGACUUAAUAGAGGAGGUCUGUAUAUGAUGAUAAAUAUUAUAAUACACAAUUUAUAUCAUCAUGUGAUCCAGAUUGUGGUUUAGGAUAUUGUAGUCAUUAUUAAAUAUGCUUGCACAAAUAUAAAUGUGAGUGUUCCACUAAUAGCAUCAAAGUUAUAUUGUGCAAGCAUUUGCAUGCUGUUACUAUGUUCGGACAAAGAAUAAAUUCUGUUUAAGAUGACGACAACAAUUUAGAAAUUAAUGAGCCAUCAACAAGUUAACUAUAAUGAAGAUGUGGGACAUUUUAUAGAUGAAACCAUUUCUAGUUCACAAAAUUUCACAUCUAUAAGCAAUGACACAGAAAAUGAUUUGCUGAAAUGUGUAAAACAAUUGAAGACUCUCAAUGCAGAAGGAAAGAGGAGAUUAUUUGCAACUAUCAAUG